GAUGAACGCUGGCGGCGUGCCUAAUACAUGCAAGUCGAGCGAACAGACGAGGAGCUUGCUCCUUCGACGUUAGCGGCGGACGGGUGAGUAACACGUAGGUAACCUACCUAUAAGACUGGGAUAACUUCGGGAAACCGGAGCUAAUACCGGAUAAUAUUUCGAACCGCAUGGUUCGAUAGUGAAAGAUGGCUUUGCUAUCACUUAUAGAUGGACCUGCGCCGUAUUAGCUAGUUGGUAAGGUAACGGCUUACCAGGGCAACGAUACGUAGCCGACCUGAGAGGGUGAUCGGCCACACUGGAACGGAGACACGGUCCAGACUCCUACGGGAGGCAGCAGUAGGGAAUCUUCCGCAAUGGGCGAAAGCCUGACGGAGCAACGCCGCGUGAGUGAUGAAGGUCUUCGGAUCGUAAAACUCUGUUAUUAGGGAAGAACAAACGUGUAAGUAACUGUGCACGUCUUGACGGUACCUAAUCAGAAAGCCACGGCUAACUACGUG
rnacentral:rRNA from 1 species